ACUGUAUGCAUCUCUAUAUGCUUACAUCCUAAAAGCUUAAACAAUUUACCCUAUUUAUUUAGAAUAAUUUCCACUUAUAGAAAAAUUGUACAUCUCUAUAUGCUUCACCGAGAUUCUUCUAUUCAUAUUCUGCCCCAGUUACUUUUUCCCGUCCUCCCUCCCUCCCAACCUUCCUUUCUUGCUUCCUUCCUCCCUCCCAUGAUCCUUCUUCUUCUUUCUCUCCCAUCUUCUUUCUCUCUCCCAUAUAUGUAGAUUUUUUUUCUGAAUAUUUGAAAAUGUAUUGCAUAUAUUAUGCUCCUUUAUUUCUAAGUAUGUUAGCAUCCACCUCUUAGGAACAAGGACAUUCUCUUACACAACUGCAGUUCCGUUAUCACUUUCAGGGCACUUAACUUUGGAUACUUAAAUCUCUAAUUAAUAUUUUGAUUUUUUUUUCAAUUAGCCCCGUGGUUUUCUUUAGAGCAUUUCCCCCUCCAUACAGGAUCCAGUUCAGAUCACAUGUUAUCUGUUCACUGAAUUCUAUCACAUCGUCAUUUGUGAAACUUCCAGCCUUACUCCUCCUUUUUAAAUAAAAUGUUCCAAAAUCAUGCUUCUAUGUUUCCCCAAGAUUAGACUCACUUUAUGCAUGUCCUGUCAGGCAACUACCAGGUGAGGUUUUUGUCCUCAGGAUAUUGUACCCAGAGGCACCCAAUCUGUCUGCCCUUCCUUGAUAUUUUAAUUGUGACCACCUGGUCAACUUGCUGUCUGAUUUCUCCGCUAUAUAGGAGAGCGAGCUGAGUUUUAAAACCAGGAUUUGUUGGACGGCAAAGCUCUGCUCCUGGCUGCCUCUUGUUGACUCUGAUUUAUCUGCCCUUGCUGAGAACCUUCGUGGAGCCAUUAUUUGCUGAGUCUAAUUGAAGAGAGUGUUCUUUCUCAUGAGACCAAAGUCUGGGCAAGGGAGGUUACAAUCAAAGAGUUUCUACACCUUCUGAAUUGUUUGCAAAUCUUAACAAUUGCCUCUCACUAUUCAAUCGAGUUACUCUUAGGAAAAACAAUUCAAUCAAGUUCCCAAACCUCUUCCCUUGCUGGCUCACAUUUGCUUUUAGGGUAUCUCACCUUCUCUGUAAAAGAAAUGUGAGUUCUCUCUGUUCAGACCUGGGGUGAUUUGUUUCUAAGUGGCAGGCAGGCAGGCAGGGAAGUUGCUUUGUUCCCAGAAGCAGCUUUGGCAGGAGGAAGCCCAGGGGCGGGAUGGAAAUCAGAGGGGUUUUAUACAAUGGUUGGCUCCUCUUCCACAUCACUGGGAUCCCAGGGGCCUUAACAACUUGGUUCUAGUUCAAGCUGACGGUGCUAAAGGUCACAUUUCCUGUAUCUUUCACUUCAUCUUUCCUGAAGGAUUUUCCCUGUCCCAGAAGGUGGUUGGGAAGACAGUAAACUUUAGGUAGGCGAGUCUCUUGUGUAAUCUGGAGGUAACGAUUUAAGUAAACAACUGAGUAAACAACUGAUACUAAAACCAGUUCAACUGGUGUUGAGUCAAAAUUUAUCCCAGGCCUCAGAGACCUUUAGAAGGAGUCUGGACAAAGCUCCCAGGUGACAAUGAUGGGCCUUGUUGGUGUGCAGUGCUGGUGGAACAGAUACAAAUCCUGCAGCCGAAUCUGGCAACUAUUAUGAGGCUGAAAUAAGCACAUAUAGUCACCGAACAAAGCCACCAAAUUAUGUGUUUAACAUAAUAAUAAUUAUAAAAGCUUUAUAGGCAUCAUUUUGAACUAUCUACUGCCAUGAGUCCCGAGGGCUUCCUUCAACUCUGGGGAACACUGAAAAAUGAACAGUGACAGGAAGCUGGGGUGGAGAGCGGGCUCAGCCAUUAGUUUUUUUUGUGUGUGUGAGCAAUUGUUUUAAAGUUCAAAUGCAAUACUCACUGUAUCAUUUGUCCCCACAAAUUACCCCUUAGAUGGUUUACUACGAGUGCCAGCUUCUCUAGGGUACCUUCAGGAUUUUUACAAGUGGGCCCAGCAAACAAUGAUUUUUCUUCUUCAAGAAACUAUCCAGAGUGGCUUGUUACAUGACAGACAUGUGGUUUGAGUUUUGUUGUAAAGGCAGAACAAAGGAUCUGAGAGUGUUUCUUUUCAUUAUUGGAGCUGUGUGGCUCUGGGGGAACACGAGAUAGUUCAUUAUUCAAAUGAGAAUUUUUUUUUGCCUUUCAUUUUCGGUUUUAUUUCUGUAUAUCCAUGACAUUUCAGCAAGCAAGCUGCCUCCUCCAGAAGCACCAUCUGCUUUUCUUUUCAACUGUGACACCAUCUGAGAGAAUACCUUCUCACUCUUAGAAAUACAUGUGGGGUGAGGGGAAUGGUGUUGUCAAUUAUACAUAUGGUUACGUAUGAAUAUAUACACAUAUAGGUAUGUAUCUCUCUGUGUGCAUGUGUACUCUUUUGCUUGUGUUAACACUAGAGCACAGAUGUACAAUCAAGAAAUUUGGUUUCAGUAAGAUAACCAAGCAAACAUUUCCAACCCAACUUUCUCUCAUGUCUCAAAAUCCUUCUCAGUGCAAUAGGAUGUCAAUUUCAUGAGCACAGGGAUUUUUGUCCAUUUGUUUAUUCCUAUAUUUCUGGCAUCUAAGAGAGUGUCUUGUGGGAGUUCCCCUCAUGGCUCAGCAGUAAAUGAACUCGACUAGGAUCCAUGAGGAUGAGGGUUCGAUCCCUGGCCUCGAUCAGUGAGUUAAGGAUCUGGCAUUGCCAUGAGCUAUGUUGUAGGUCACAGACAUGGCUCGGAUCCCAUGUUUCUGUGGCUGUGGCAUAGGCUGGCAGCUGUAACUCCCUCUGAUUUGACCCCUAGCCUGGAAGAGCAAAAAAAAAAAAAAAAAAAAAAAAAAAAAGAGUGUCUUGUAUAUAGUAGGUGCUAAAUUAAGAGUUGAAUGAAAUGGUGUGAAAAACUCUUCCUCCAGAGUAAUUUUGUGUACUUGGUAUAUAACAGUCAGAAAUUUCUCUUCCUGGCUGUUAGAUGUUCCACACCAUUCACCUCCAGUGUGGUUGUGAUCUUGUGAACUUUUUUUUUUUUUUUUGGUCUUUGCUCUGUUAGGUGUUGGUCUUGAGUGGGAAUGCCUUCUCUGACUUGUUACAUUUUCUUAUCAGAUAAAGCAAAGAUGCUGUGAGGCCUAUGAAUUGUCUGGCUACCCAGCUAACUCUCUAGAGUAGCAUAAUUAAUCAACAGUGAGCAUUCAGUUUGGGUCGUCGCCUUUGGCCUUUUGCUGCAUGAAUGUAUGGACAGUAGAAGAAAUCAGAAUCUGGCAUCUAUUGAGAUACCUAACAUUAAAUUGUUAUCAUAACUCAGGAAACCUGUGAAAAAUACCCACCCAGGUACAAGCUAAAAUAGUGCAGCCUAACUGGUCAUGAAACAACAGCUGUCAGAGUGGCUUGCUAUCCUGCAACUGGAACUGGAUUAUCUCAUUUCAGCAAAGAUUUCAGAAAGAGGCAAGGAGCCAGAUCAGCUGGUCUUCAGGUGUCCAUGGUGGAAAGGGAUUCAUGUUCACAUACUGGACCUUUUUAGCUCAUUCAAAGAAAAUCUGACAGAAGCAAGCUCUUUGACUGUCCUUGACAGAAAUAUGCAACAGACAAAGAGACUGAGAUCAUCCAUGAUAUCAUUAGUGUCUAAGAGCUCACUGACAUAGGAGCUAGAAAUGUGUGAUUCUAUUUUUCAGGAGUUGCUCUAAUCAGAAAUUUUCAAUAAUUCCCCAUUCCCUGGGGAAUGGAAUCCAGAAUUAAGCAAGGUUUGUACAAAUCUGAGCCAAAUCUGCCUUCUCAGAUUGAAGUCUCUUUGGCAACCCACAGUGUCCCAGGGCUGGAGCUGAGCUAGAGAAGAGUCACCAUUCACUAAGCAUUCCGCCCUUGGUAUCCCUACUAUGUUGCUUUGAAUGGAAUACCCUGCUCUCUGGUGGUUGAAGUUCUGUGAAGGGGCCAAUGAGUUCCUCUGUAAACAUAUUAAAUUUGAAGUAUUAAAGGUACGAACAAGAAGAAUUGUGCAGUAAGGAAUCAGAGAGAGACCUUGGAGCUGCAGAGGUCUGGCUGGAGACUGAGAUUGAAGGAGCUUUCACCUCUUGAUUGUAUGUGAAAAGAUAAGGUGAAUGAGAUCAUGGAAGGUGAGUAUAGAGCAAGAAAGACAAGGAUUUUAUGGGGUGAGCAAAGGAAUUAGUUUCUCCAAAGGAGACCAUGAGACAAUGAUCAGAAUAGGAAGAAAACUAAGAAAAAUAGUGUUAUGAAUAAUGUAGCUGAUAUUUAUUGAAUGUACUAGGUGGGGGAGCUCUUUUUAAGCAUUGUGCUUAAGUUAACUAAUACAACAACCUUAUAAAUAAGUUCUAGUAUUUUCAUUUUUAAGACGGGGACACGGAAGCAUAGAGAGGCCAAGUAAUCUGCCUAAGGGUUCCAGCUAGUAGGUAGUGGGGCUGGCCUCUGAUUCCAGACUUGGUACCCUUGUCUCUUCUGUUAAUCCCUCUCCAAAGUAAAAAGAAGAAAAGAGAGUCAAGGUGGAGAGAGCGGUUCACAUUUUCAUAAUGCCCAUGCUCCAGGGAGAUCAGUUACGAUAAUGAAUGGGAAUAGCUUGGGUGUUCAUUGGAUUUGAUAAUUGGGAAGAUACUGGUCUUGGAACAAGUCAUUUUAGUAAACUUGAGGCAGACGUUUUAAGCAAAUGGGCUCCAGAGUAUUACUUACAUUCUACUUAUUUCUUUCACAGGGCCAGUUCCAGGGCAUUUACAUAGCUAUUCAAAAGAUGGUCAUUCUCUGAGUAUUCCCAGUGUUAAACUGAACAUGAAACUUCAAUUCUUCAUAUUACUUUCAUUCUCUUUUUCACUUCAGCUGUGUAGAAAUAGCCUAUUGGAAGUUCACAGUGUGGCUCAGUGGUAAUGAGCCCGACUAAUAUCCAUGAGGAUAUGGGUUCAAUCCCUGGCCUUUCUCAGUGGGUUAAGGAUCCAGUGUUGCUGUGAGCUGUGGUGUAGGUCACAGAUGUGGCUCGGAUCCUGAGUUUCUGUGGCUGUGGUAUAGGCUAGCAGCUGUAGCUCCAAUUCGACCCCUAGCCUGGGAACUUCCAUAUG
rnacentral:lncRNA from 1 species